rnacentral:misc_RNA from 1 species
UUCUCCCACUCAAAUUAAGAAAAGGUCUCUCUAAAUUCUAUUAAGAUUUUGAGUCAUAAUUCUAAUAUAUUCCUAUACUCAACACAAUUUACUUUUCUUUUUCUUUCUUUUUCUGAGUAAGGGACUAAGAGAGUGGGUACUUGAACUUGGGUCUACCACGUGAGUUUUAUGCUUCAGACACUAGACUGAGCCAGGCUAAGCAACCCAAUUUAAUUAGAAUAAAUUAUUUUGAAAAUUUUCCUUAAUUUACAUGGUUUAAUGUUAUUUUUCUAAAAAGGUAAAG